ACGGUGAGGAUGAUAAGGUGAAGACAAAGUGCUGCUAUGCUCAUGGCAAGAGAUGUGGACAUGUUAACUUUUGCUGACUUGAAUCCGUCCGCCGCUCCUCUAGGCUCUGCACCAUGCCGAGACAUCCGCGUCCCAACUCUCCCUUCUCCCUGGUGGGCUCUCAUCCAACUGGAGACAGCCGCGUCCCCGAUGGCUGCUGCUGGACCUGACCCCUCCUCGUUGCCUGGGCGCAUCCCCGAUGGGGAGUUGGAGGUUGGGUUGUUGAUGUUAUGGAAGACUCAUUUCCAGGUUCCAGCCUUGAUUUGUCUCCUCCAAGAAGGAAUACACCAGGAGAAACAGCCGCUGGCCUUGUCCUUCUCGAGGAGGAGCAGGAGGGGCGCACCUAGCCACCACGGUCGCCGCCGUUAAGGGCUUCUUCCACCUGGACCUCGAAAUCAACGCCGCCGACGUCCAGCCACCCAAGGUGAAGGUGCCCCCAACUCCCCUCCGUCCCCUCUCCCCUCCCUAUUUCAUUUGAUCUAGCAGCCAUGGAUUUGGGUUCCUCAAGGUUGCCUAAUUACUUUACUUUGUAUAGAUCCAACAAUUUUGUUUGCUACAGAAUAGCACCACCCUAGUUAGUCUACAAUUUUGUUUACGGUGAUGCCCCUGCACAGGAUGUGCAGCAAGCCUUCCAAUCUUCUUGUUUUGUUUCUGUUGGUGUGUGUGUGUGCAAAAUGAUAGGUGCCUGCCAUGUGGUUUAUAAACACACAGUUAUAACAGUAAGAUGAUAUUCAGGCCCUGUUUGAAGUCACUCCAGCUCCUAAAAAUACAAGGAGUUGCGAAGCAUCUGUUUCCCAGCUUAGUGCUUUUUAACUCCAUCUCCGAGAGCGGAGUGGUGGAGUGGUGGGUCUCCGAACAGGGCCUCAAAUUGCUUAAGAUGUGCUUUCAGUCCUAACUAGACAAUCUCCUGCUUUACAUGUAGUUGCUUUGCAUAUCCUGUAAAUAAUUUCUUGGCACGCCCAUUCUGCCAUGUCAACGAUGAUGAUCUAAUUAUGAUUUCUGCCAAUGGAUGGAUCCACAUGAUGCGACGGACCUGCUGCUGCCGGCUGUCUUCCCCGACCACUUCUGUGAGCUGCUCCUGCCGCUGACCCUCUUCAACUUCGCCCGUUGCCCGCUGUUGCUGCUGGUGCCACUUGACGCAAGUGUGGAGCCUACGCCUCCUUGCUGAAGCUUCUUGCGCUACACCAGCUUACGUUGCUUUCGUUGCUGCGAAUGUGGUUAAGAUGGCGUUCUACACCAGCUUCUUAUGUUGCAUAUGAAUGGGGAAGGCAAGUUGUCACAUCAGGAGCACAUCAGAGGGAGCAAUGAAGUUUGUACUAUUUGGUUCUUACAAUUAGGACAGUACCAGAUGUGCUAAUACGACUUGAACAAUGUGAUGUAGUUGUAAGUUAAGGCAAAUUGUGUGGAUGAUGUAUUCCUGUGUAAUUAAAUGUUGUAUUCCAUGUGUACAUGCCGCUUUAAAUGACAUCAAGAUUAUGAAAAUUGUGUACAUGCUACUUCAUAUGGGUUGAAUAUGACAGAAAAUAG